CGAAAAAUUAUUCCUUCACUUAACAGCUGACUACCAAUAUUGUUAUCGAUACCUAAAGUGCGCCACAUAAUCUUUUUUUAAACGGUGUGUGCUUAGCAACUUCUUAUUUUAAAUAUAAAAUAUUGAGUGAUGCCUACAUUAAAUACAAAUAUUUUGUUUAUUGAAAAUAAAUAAAUUUGAACAAUAAAUAAAGUGAAUAAUAAUUUAGACAGUUAAGAGUUAAUGCAGAAUAGUACUAUUAUGGCAAAAACUAGCUACCAAAGAUAAGAAAGAUUUCUCUCCGUUUGGCUGCUCCUCCAACGCCUCUUUGCUGCUGUCUGUUGGCGUUGUCAAUUUUUUAUUGCCCUUUGGCAGAUGUGUUUGACUGGCGCGGAGGAAUGGGGAUGGCAGCAUCCUGGCCUGUGUGUAUUGCGCUUUCGAGGUUAGCGGGUCACGUGCCGCACUCGACCUGCUCCUUCGACAUUUGCUGCGACAAAAUCAGCGCCGUGGCAUCUUCGCCAGCAAUUGAAUUCAAAUGAAGCCGGGCUAAAAAGGCUCCGACGCUCCCCCCCAACAGAAGAAUAAAUGCGAUGCCAUAAAUCAA